CACGUAGGGCGCAAGCGUUGUUCGGAUUCAUUGGGCGUAAAGGGUGUGUAGGUGGCGCGCUAAGUCGGGUGUGAAAUUUCGGAGCUUAACUCCGAAACUGCAUUCGAUACUGGCGUGCUUGAGGACUGGAGAGGAGACUGGAAUUCAUGGUGUAGCAGUGAAAUGCGUAGAGAUCAUGAGGAAGACCAGUGGCGAAGGCGGGUCUCUGGACAGUUCCUGACACUGAGACACGAAGGCCAGGGGAGCAAACGGG
rnacentral:rRNA from 1 species